rnacentral:rRNA from 2 species
GCUUCCGUUGAUGACGUGCUUGCACUGAUUUCAACAAUGAAGCGAGUGGCGAACUGGUGAGUAACACGUGGGGAAUCUGCCCAGAAGCAGGGGAUAACACUUGGAAACAGGUGCUAAUACCGUAUAACAACAAAAUCCGCAUGGAUUUUGUUUGAAAGGUGGCUUCGGCUAUCACUUCUGGAUGAUCCCGCGGCGUAUUAGUUAGUUGGUGAGGUAAAGGCCCACCAAGACGAUGAUACGUAGCCGACCUGAGAGGGUAAUCGGCCACAUUGGGACUGAGACACGGCCCAAACUCCUACGGGAGGCAGCAGUAGGGAAUCUUCCACAAUGGACGAAAGUCUGAUGGAGCAAUGCCGCGUGAGUGAAGAAGGGUUUCGGCUCGUAAAACUCUGUUGUUAAAGAAGAACACCUUUGAGAGUAACUGUUCAAGGGUUGACGGUAUUUAACCAGAAAGCCACGGCUAACUACGUGCCAGCAGCCGCGGUAAUACGUAGGUGGCAAGCGUUGUCCGGAUUUAUUGGGCGUAAAGCGAGCGCAGGCGGUUUUUUAAGUCUGAUGUGAAAGUCUUCGGCUUAACCGGAGAAGUGCAUCGGAAACUGAGAGACUUGAGUGCAGAAGAGGACAGUGGAACUCCAUGUGUAGCGGUGGAAUGCGUAGAUAUAUGGAAGAACACCAGUGGCGAAAGCGGCUGUCUAGUCUGUAACUGACGCUGAGGCUCGAAAGCAUGGUAGCGAACAGGAUUAGAUACCCUGGUAGUCCAUGCCGUAACGAUGAGUGCUAGUGUUGGAGGGUUUCCGCCCUCAGUGCUGCAGCUACGC